GUACUCGAUUCAGCAGCACAUAUAAUAAAAUCAGAAUGAUAUAGAGAAUUAGCAUGGCCCCUGCACAAGAAUGAGAUGCAAAUUUACAAAAUGUUCCAUAUUUUU
rnacentral:snRNA from 1 species